GCACCCAUAGUUUAACGGAUAGAACAGUGGUUUGCGGAACCACUAAUCCAGGUUCGAUUCCUGGUGGGUGCACCA
rnacentral:tRNA from 1 species